CCCCACUCAGGAUAACACCUGGAGAGAUUCCAGUACUCUACCAGUCUUGGCUACAGGAGGGAGAGUCAAGCAGAGGCCUACCCAUUCCAUUUCUAGCUUAGCCAGUGUGUAGCAAGUGGAAGGCAAUCUGCUACAAGU
rfam:Ornithorhynchus anatinus chromosome 1, whole genome shotgun sequence.